AGGGUGAUAUAUUUCAGGGUGAGCUCAGCAAGACCCCUUCCUCUAAAGAAAAAAGGCACAAAGGUGUUUACUGAGUGUCUGGGAAGACAAAUGUGAGUUGAGCUGCUGCUGGCCAGGACCUGGAGGUAUCUGUCAGGGUCAGGAACAGGGUGACACUUUGAAACACGUCCCAGAGGAGGAUAUUGAAGGUUGCAUUGUAUAGUGAUAUUGAACAUACUCCUCGUAGGCAGAGUGCUGUUAAUCCUAUUUCUCUAAUGAGCGUAAGCAUGAACAAUAGCUCAACUAGUGGUGGGCGCACCGCUGGCUGCACAGAGCUGACAUAAAUUCAUUUUUAUGAAUUUCAUUUUUAAUAUUUAUAUCUUAGUGAGCUGGUCAGCCUGGGAAUGAAGUGCUCUUGCUGGAGAAGGUGUAUGAAUUCCAGCACUAACUCUACGGGAUUUGCAGCGGUGACAGGGAGCAUGGGUCUAGUACUAGCAGGUGUAUAACUUGCAGGCUGGUUGUCCUGAGUCACCAUCUGGAGGGCUGGGCUGAGUUUCCAGAGGAACCAGGGCAGAAGAGAGCUCGUCGAGGCUCAGCUUGCACUUUCUCAAGCUCAGGCGCACAAUGGAAGAGGGACGGCGAAGAGCAGAUUCCUGCCUCCUAAAUCUUCUGGCCAUUAGUUCCCCCUCCUUUGUUUACCUCUCCCAUUUUACUGUAGUUUCUCACCAGUUGAACAAGGCAAUGAGGUCACUGUUUGGAGAUCAGGGUGCAGAAGUCAGUCUGGGUGUGAAGACAGAAACUAAUCAGGAAAGUUUGUCAGGGGAGAAGAAUGGGGGGGACUGUACCCCAGUACAGGGUUAGUAGUGGGUGUGCUGCAUGAGUUUAGCAACACCUUAAACUCCCCUUUCUUCAGUACUGUUGCACAAAGCAAUUGGGUCAAAACUUGACAGGCAGUGUUCUGCUGCCUGCUUUUGUUUAUUUUAUUUUAAGGAAAGAAGAAAAUUAGAAAAAAAAAGUCUUUUGCAGAGAUAACAAAUGUCACGGUUCAGAUAUUUGCCCUGUCUUUCUUUCCCUUCUUCCCUCUCUUCCUUCCCAGCAUUUUGCACUUGCAGACGCAGAUUUGUGCGUCCCUUUCUUCCCUGCCCAAGGAGCCAGAAAGUUUUACAUCCAGUCCACGAAAAGUGAGCAUGGGGCUUCAGUCUGGAGCGCUGAUGCUGGAAGCAGGAGAGACUUUGUACAGCUGGGGGCAUCCAAUCACAUUUGACCAUCCAGAAGCAGCUGAGUCAGUCUGCUAGAGCAUUCACGCUCCCGGCAAGACAGCCGCAGGCAGAUGCAUCUCAGGUUGAACGCACAGGUUCCAGGAGUCAGCUCUUUCCUGAGCAAAAGGACUUCCUCUGUCCAUGACACAGGAUUGCCAAUUCCUCCAAUGCCAGGAGAGACCAGUGAGGAGAGGGGGAUGCUCUGCCUGAAGAGCCUGCAGAAAGGGACCAGCAGGAGCUCCCGCUCACCGACCUUCCACUCUCGCUUGACCAGGCAGCGCUGUGCCCAGGAAAGAGCAAAAGAUGAACUGCAAAGCAGUGAGGGUGCCACCAUGUCAGUCCAGUCAUUGACUGCCAAACCCUCCUUCCAUCUCAGAAAGGCAGCUGUGCGACUCUCCGGAAGGAAAAAGCGUUUAACCACUUGUAGUGGAAAAGCAUGCCCUGAUGGCCAGAGAACUGAGCAGCAGGCUCUACUUACUGGCGAACCAAGGGUGACCACAACAACUGUAGGAAUGUGGUAGAACCCGAGAGACGGAGAAUGCAGAAGAUCUGCAGGAACCUACCUGAUAGGAGGACCCUUCCGAUUCCUGCCCAGCUAGCGACUAGUCUGCUUUCUAGGCAACUGACAGGAGAAAAGAUGUCUGCAAAGAGAAAAAAAAAAAUGGGAAAGUUGAGAGCUCAGAGAGGAAACCUCAUUUCUGCCUCCACCAUGGGAUGCCUGCAGCUAUCCUAUCCGUCUGGGAGGUCCUGCAAAAGAAAACAAGAUUGCUCUGCAUGACUCAGUCUUGGUUCAGAAGCUAAAAGUGUGUAUAAAUAUAUUUCAAAUACUAAUCACAGACCCUGUUGGGGGACAACUGCUAUGACGUAAUAUAUAAUUAGAACUGCAUGUUUGUGUAAUAGCACCCACCUAGGAUGAAACUAAGAAAUCCAGCUAAAGUAAAGACCCUUGUAGGUCUGGAGUAAGAAGUGCUAAUGUCUGUGCAGGGCCUGAGGCAGGAGGGACGCUGAGGAGGCUGCAGUGUCAACUUCUGAUCAGCUCCUUCCAUCCAGUUUUAAGAGCAUACAACACCUCCAGACAAUUUCCUCACUUCACAAGUUGUGCUGGCACUAGAAUGUUUGACAAGCAGACUUUGAGGGAAGUGGGGUGGCCUGCAGUAUUUUUUUGUCCCCCCACUCAAAACCAUUCCUGUGACUUUUUUUUCAUUGUGAGUUUCCUGAAGGCGUGUUACUGUAUUUUGGUUCAAUGUGAAAGUGGGUGUUACUUUGCACUACAGUGGGAACAAAGCCUAACAGAACUUAAAUGCUAACCUGAUCGCACAUUUUUCCUAGCUUCUUGAGCAAAAGAGAGACAUGGGCUUUCACACAGUUAAGUACUUCUGCAUUUUGCAUGAUGUCCUCAUCAUCAAAAUCACUGAGUAACUUCUAUUUAUUGAGUAAGAAGGUCCUGCUGGCCUCCCUUUUUCUCGUACCAGCAUUUCUGUUAACUUAAACUCAGUUAGGUUGCCACUGGCCUUGAUAUAACUGCUCUAAGCACAUCCUUGUUCAGUUUUUGUUAUGUCUACAACCACCAUGCUAAGCUUCUUUUCUCAGAUACAGAAAAGAGACAGUAUCAUCAACAGUCCUCUCUCUGCAUUUGUUCCAGCAUCAAUUCUUCUUUCUUUAACUUAAGUGACGAGAACCGUGGCAGCAUUCCAGGCAAGGUCUCACCAGCAAUACCAAUGCUUCCCUAUAUGUAAACCAGGAAUAACUUGACUGCUCAAACAGCAAGUGGAAUACAUCUCUAGCUUUAGCCAUAGCUUUAGAGCAGGGGUUAAACAAUUUCUGAACGUGCAACCUUACACUUUGUUCUGCUAAUUUUCAUCUCAGUUAUUACUGUAGCCCUCUCAAUCUCCAUGAGCUAGUCCUUUAACAGCAAUACUCCCCCCUACUAUCCCUAUCUUUUUUACACCUCCCUAUUUUUCAAUUUGGCAAAUAUCCCUGGAGCAUAAUCUCCUCCUGGCCUGUGAUUUUGUCCACCAGGGUUUCUGAGUUAAACCAGAUCCUCUCCACAAUGGAAACAUUACAUAUAAUGCUACAUGGGGAAACACUUCAGUUUCAACUACUAUUCCCUUUUUUCCCUGUUUAAAGAAUAUGAUGUGGUGUGCUAACUGAUGAUCAGAUCUUCUUUAAAAUUAAUUUAGACUAAUUUGAUACUUGUCUACUUUAUUAAAUUAAUACUGACUUUUCGCUUAUUUGCUAGGCGGCUCCAGUUCUCUCUCUGUCUGUUUCUGUAAGUCAGAGAAGUCCAUCUAUAGCUGUCUUAACCAAACUUUAAUGCAAGCGCUACGCAUAUUAUUCUCUAGGUCUGUGGUAACACCUCCAGUUUGACAUUUAUUAAAAACUGUACUGAAAAUUCCAAAAUUGUGUCCUUUUUUUGUAUACAUGCUGCCUUCUUGUUUCUCUGCGAUGGUUUGCGUCCACCUCAGACACUAACUUACACUUCUACAUGUGCGGUCAGCAGCCACAUGCUGAAUUUCCCAUUACUUCACAUUACCCUCCUUACUGAAAGCUGAAGCAAAACAUCCAUAUACUUUUGCAGACAUAAAUUAUCAUCAGUCUCAUCAGCUUCACUAAUGGACCUUUUUUGUGCCUUCCAAUUCCUACCUGUCCAAAAUUCCAUCCCUCUUCCUAAAUCCACUGGAGUCUCAUGGACAGAAAGACUAGUUGAAAUAACUCACCGGACAUUUUACUAUUCUUCUCUUCAGCAACAGCAAUACUUUUGUUUUGUCCCAACACUCCCCUCUGUAAUCCACAGGGAUUCACGCAACUCAAAAAACCCUCUCAUGUGGUUAGGCUUCAGAUAUGAGAAGAAAAUUUCUGUAAUUUACCACUAAAGACAUUCUUUGAGCUGCCUAUGAGCAACCAAUACCCUCAGAUUGAAAUAUUUCAAUGUGUCUUUAUAGUACGGAAUCAUGCUUUCUUGAUAAAAAAACCACCAACAAACCACAACCAAAAAAACCCCACAAAACAACAAACAGAUUAAAACCCCCUAAACCUAAAUCUGUUACCUUAGCUACAGUUUUACUAAAAUUGCUUACAGAAAUCCAGUAGGCUACUAAAAUUACACAGGUAGCCUUUAAAAUCUGUUGUGUUCUCCUAAUGUUGCAUAUUCACGUUCCCAUGCAUAAACCCAACUGUAUUCCUUUUCUAGAGGCAAAGUAAUUUUGAAUGAGCCAGUGAAAACUCUUUGUGAAGUCUCUCCUCACCCCCAACUAUGUGGCUUUAGAAUCAAUUCCCCUCAGCAUGGCUCCAUUUCAGAUGCAGACUGAAAGAGUCGGAUCAAGGAGAACAACUGAAAAAGCAUGUUGUAUAUGUCACCAUAGUUUCUCCUCCCUGGAUCUGGCACCCCCUUUGCAUAAACAUAGUCCUGGUCGAA